UUAUGUGGAUCUUGUGCUUUUUCUGUUCCCUGGCAGUGUGGCUGGGCUAUGGACAGUGUCAGACUCUGACUCAGCCUCCACACCUGACUGUGAAACCGGGAAACAAGGCCACACUGGACUGUAACAUUGGAACGGCUGAUAACUAUGUUGUGAGCUGGUACAAGCAGACACCAGGAUCAGCUCCUCAGUGGAUCCUCUAUUACCAUCACUCGAGCAGUGCGCCUAUCUAUGGGUCUGGGUUUAGCAGCGACCGUUUCACAUCGACAGCCAACAGCGGCCACAACAUUUACCAGUUAAUCAUCAAAAACGUGGAGGUGAAUGAUGCCGCCGUGUAUUACUGUGAAAAGUGGUUUAGCUCGGCCAGUGCUUGUGUGUUUGGGCAAGAGACCAAGCUCUUUUUUGCAGCUCAGCAACUCCCUGACCCUUAAGUAAAACUGCUUGGGCCUUCAGAUGAGAUGAUGUCCAGUAAAGGGGCAGGCACAUUAGUUUGUCUGGUCAGCAAACUGUCCAUGGGCUUUGCUGUAGUCAGC